rnacentral:rRNA from 1 species
GACGAACGCUGGCGGCGUGCCUAAUACAUGCAAGUUGAGCGCUGAAGGUUGGUACUUGUACCAACUGGAUGAGCAGCGAACGGGUGAGUAACGCGUGGGGAAUCUGCCUUUGAGCGGGGGACAACAUUUGGAAACGAAUGCUAAUACCGCAUAAAAACUUUAAACACAAGUUUUAAGUUUGAAAGAUGCAAUUGCAUCACUCAAAGAUGAUCCCGCGUUGUAUUAGCUAGUUGGUGAGGUAAAGGCUCACCAAGGCGAUGAUACAUAGCCGACCUGAGAGGGUGAUCAGCCACACUGAGACUGUGACACGGCACAUACUGCCACGGGUGGCAGCAGUAGGGAUUCGUCGGCCAUGGACGAAAGUCUGACCGCGAAACGCCGAGUGAGUGAAGAGGGUUUUCGGGUCGUAGAACUCUGUUGGUAGGGAAGAACGUUGGUGAGAGUGGAAAGCUCAGCAAGUGACGGUAACUACCCAGAAAGGGACGGCUAACUACGUG